UACCAGCACCCCGAGUGGUCGGGACGUUUUAUUGGGCCUAAAGCAUCCGUAGCCGGUUCUACAAGUCUUCCGUUAAAUCCAACUGCUUAACAGGUGGGCUGCGGAAGAUACUAUAGAGCUAGGAGGCGGGAGAGGCAAGCGGUACUCGACGGGUAGGGGUAAAAUCCGUUGGAUCCAUUGAAGACCACCAGUGGCGAAGGCGGCUUGCCAGAACGCGCUCGACGGUGAGGGAUGAAAGCUGGGGGAGCAAACCGG
rnacentral:rRNA from 1 species